CCCCCCCCCCCCCCCCCGCCCGGGGCCCCUGAGCUCAGUGCCUGGACCCCCCCCCCCCCCCAGCCCGGGGCCCCUGAGCUCACUGCUGCCUGCCCAGUGUCUUCUCUUCCUGCCCCUCUUCGCUGCUGCCCCUUACCACCCUCCCGCUUUUCCCCCUUUGGGUGCAACACACACAUUCCAGUCCCCGGCCUGUGCGGCCCUCAAACCCAACCCCGUUGUUGUGAUACCCCCCCACGUACAUGCACACAUACACACAUCCCUUGCACAUUCAGGAUGCCCCUGUAAUGGCAGCCCCCCACUCCCUAGGGAGGAGACCAGCUGCAGGCGUCCUGGGAGCGCUGGGGACACGGAACUCGUCAGGCCCACUGAUCUCCUGGGAUCUGUGUGUUUGUGAAUUGAUCCCACUGUCUUUUCCAUCGGGGGUACCCCUGACCCCAACAGAACAAUUUGGGAGAAACUACAUGAAAACUUGUGAUUUCGUCCCCCGUUGCUCCUAUUACUCAGCACUGCACCCCAUUGGGAAGAGGCUUUUGUUCUUCAAAGCUAGAAAUAGACAGGGGGACCGCUUUGAAGACAUUUUCUUCAGACUUCGUUGAGAAAUUCCAAGUUGAGAGAAGCAGGGAUGUGAAUAGAGUCCAUGGUUAUGGAGGAUGGGCUGAACGGAAACAAAACUGGGAACAUAUAUUUGUAGUCUAACAGCAGCUGUGGUGGGUCAUUUCGUUCUUGCAAAUUUGCCUAUGAGGUUUGUGUGGAAAAAAUAAAAGUGAUCUUGCUUCAAGCAGUGAACAGACCUUGCCCCCAGAGAUGCAUCCAUGAUGCUGUAUAAGUAGCCAGGAAUUUUGCAGCAGAGCAACACAAGUUGUAAAUUCCCACAAAGUGAUGGAAAGUGCUGCCCACUCAAGUCCAGGAGUGAGAGAGUGGACCUGGACACUGAAUAUGACUCCCUUGUGUAGCAGCACAGACUACCAGCAACAUGCUUGUCCUUUUAUCUAGUGCACCAUCACGACUGAGAAGAAUGUUAAACAUUAGCUACUAUUUUCCUGCUUUCUCUUUUUGACAUUCAAGAUACCAUGGCACUCUUCAGAAGAGUAGGGAAUUUUCCCUAGUCACCUGGUAAAAAUUUCCCCACCCUCCACCAAUGUGCUGUAUGCUGGGUGGCAGUCUUCCAUCUCAGAAGUGGUUGCAUUUCAGUGAUGUCCUACAUUCCUGUAUCCUACCAGCCUUAUUUGCAGGACUAGUCCCAUUGAGAAAACGAACACUUGAGCGCUCAGAUUCUAUACCGAUAAGUAGAACUCAGCAAUUUUUUUUUUUUUGGUGAACAGUAAACCAAAAGGUUGCAAAUUUGACAUGAAAUUGCUGAAUAGUUUCAGCCAAAAUCUUUGUUUUCAGGACUGAGAUGCCAUUCACAAAAUGGCUGGAGGCUGAGACAAUGGUAGUGCCUGCCUUGUACAUUUUAGCCCAGUGCACUCACUUAAGAUAUGGAAUAGGAGCCAGGUUCAAUUGCCCCCUCUAUCUGAUCUGAAGAAGGGAUUUAAACUUUGAUCUCACAGCAGAAAAGUUCCCUUACCCCGGGGCUAUUGGGUAGUCUGGAGUGAGUCUUUCUCAGUCUCUCCCGUUGAAGUGGUUCCACUUUGUAUAAAUAAUUAGUCAUUGGAGGUUGGGACAAAGACAGAGUGAGAAUGACUAUUCAGGCAAGUGGUUAGGGCACUCUUCUGCAAUGUGGGGCGCCCAAGUUAAAAUCACUUCUCCAUAUCAGGAUUAGGAGGGAACUGAAUGUCUCUCUCCCACAUCCCAGGAGAGAGCCGUAACCACUAGGUUAAUGCUUUGAAGGGAGAUGGCACCAUCACCCCAACCUUCCUCCUUUUAAGGAUAUCUGGAAACAAAAUGUUUCCUUCGACCCAAAGCAAACUUUUUCAAUUCACCAAAGUUUUUCGGAGUUUCCAAAUUCGAGCAGACCCACAUUUAUUUUGUUGGUUUUUUGGAACUGCCAGUGACCUGAUAAAUAGUUAUUCGCCCAACUCUACUGAUAAGGGCCACGUAAAUACCUACAUAGAAGUGAACAGAGCUCAGGUUAUAAUUUAUUAAAUGAAUUGGGAUCCUUUAUAAUGAAGGGUUUUACAUGCAUGUAAAGAAUUAUUACUCAUUUUUAUCAUUACUGUAUAUUAAAGCAGAAUAAAAAUGCUUUCUGGAUUUGA